rnacentral:rRNA from 1 species
CCUACGGGAUGCAGUAGUGGGGAAUAUUGCACAAUGGGCGCAAGCCUGAUGCAGCCAUGCCGCGUGUAUGAAGAAGGCCUUCGGGUUGUAAAGUACUUUCAGCGGGGAGGAAGGUGUUGUGGUUAAUAACCACAGCAAUUGACGAUACCCGCAGAAGAAGCACCGGCUAACUCCGUGCCAGCAGCCGCGGCAAUACGGAGGGUGCAAGCGUUAAUCGGAAUUACUGGGCGUAAAGCGCACGCAGGCGGUCUGUCAAGUCGGAUGUGAAAUCCCCGGGCUCAACCUGGGAACUGCAUUCGAAACUGGCAGGCUAGAGUUUUGUAGAGGGGGGUAGAAUUCCAGGUGUAGCGGUGAAAUGCGUAGAGAUCUGGAGGAAUACCGGUGGCGGAGGCGGCCCCCUGGACAAAGACUGACGCUCAGGUGCGAGAGCGUGGGGAGCAAACAGGAUUAGAUACCCCAGUAGUC